AUUGAACGCUGGCGGCAUGCCUUACACAUGCAAGUCGAACGGUAACAGGUCUUCGGAUGCUGACGAGUGGCGAACGGGUGAGUAAUACAUCGGAACGUGCCUAGUAGUGGGGGAUAACUACUCGAAAGAGUGGCUAAUACCGCAUGAGAUCUACGGAUGAAAGCAGGGGAUCGCAAGACCUUGUGCUACUAGAGCGGCCGAUGGCAGAUUAGGUAGUUGGUGGGAUAAAAGCUUACCAAGCCGACGAUCUGUAGCUGGUCUGAGAGGACGAUCAGCCACACGGGGACUGAGACACGGGCCAGACUCCUACGGGAGGCAGCAGUGGGGAAUUUUGGACAAUGGGCGCAAGCCUGAUCCAGCAAUGCCGCGUGCAGGAUGAAGGCCUUCGGGUUGUAAACUGCUUUUGUACGGAACGAAAAGCCCUGGGUUAAUACCCUGGGGUCAUGACGGUACCGUAAGAAUAAGCACCGGCUAACUACGUGCCAGCCGCCGCAGUAAAAC
rnacentral:rRNA from 1 species